GACGUAGGGCGCGAGCGUUGUCCGGAUUUAUUGGGCGUAAAGAGCCCGUAGGCGGUUUGUCGCGUCGUCUGUGAAAACCCACGGCUCAACUGUGGGCUUGCAGUCGAUACGGGCAGGCUAGAGUUCGGUAGGGGAGACUGGAAUUCCUGGUGUAGCGGUGAAAUGCGCAGAUAUCAGGAGGAACACCAAUGGCGAAGGCAGCUCGCUGGGACGGUACUGACGCUGAGGCGCGAAAGCGUGGGGAGCAAACAGG
rnacentral:rRNA from 1 species